rnacentral:rRNA from 1 species
UUAAGCGACUAAGCGUACACGGUGGAUGCCCUGGCAGUCAGAGGCGAUGAAGGACGUGCUAAUCUGCGAUAAGCGUCGGUAAGGUGAUAUGAACCGUUAUAACCGGCGAUUUCCGAAUGGGGAAACCCAGUGUGAUUCGUCACACUAUCAUUAACUGAAUCCAUAGGUUAAUGAGGCGAACCGGGGGAACUGAAACAUCUAAGUACCCCGAGGAAAAGAAAUCAACCGAGAUUCCCCCAGUAGCGGCGAGCGAACGGGGAGGAGCCCAGAGCCUGAAUCAGUGUGUGUGUUAGUGGAAGCGUCUGGAAAGGCGCGCGAUACAGGGUGACAGCCCCGUACACAAAAAUGCACAUACUGUGAGCUCGAUGAGUAGGGCGGGACACGUGGUAUCCUGUCUGAAUAUGGGGGGACCAUCCUCCAAGGCUAAAUACUCCUGACUGACCGAUAGUGAACCAGUACCGUGAGGGAAAGGCGAAAAGAACCCCGGCGAGGGGAGUGAAAAAGAACCUGAAACCGUGUACGUACAAGCAGUGGGAGCACAGAGCAAUCUGUGUGACUGCGUACCUUUUGUAUAAUGGGUCAGCGACUUAUAUUCUGUAGCAAGGUUAACCGAAUAGGGGAGCCGAAGGGAAACCGAGUCUUAACCGGGCGUUAAGUUGCAGGGUAUAGACCCGAAACCCGGUGAUCUAGCCAUGGGCAGGUUGAAGGUUGGGUAACACUAACUGGAGGACCGAACCGACUAAUGUUGAAAAAUUAGCGGAUGACUUGUGGCUGGGGGUGAAAGGCCAAUCAAACCGGGAGAUAGCUGGUUCUCCCCGAAAGCUAUUUAGGUAGCGCCUCGUGAAUUCAUCUCCGGGGGUAGAGCACUGUUUCGGCAAGGGGGUCAUCCCGACUUACCAACCCGAUGCAAACUGCGAAUACCGGAGAAUGUUAUCACGGGAGACACACGGCGGGUGCUAACGUCCGUCGUGAAGAGGGAAACAACCCAGACCGCCAGCUAAGGUCCCAAAGUCAUGGUUAAGUGGGAAACGAUGUGGGAAGGCCCAGACAGCCAGGAUGUUGGCUUAGAAGCAGCCAUCAUUUAAAGAAAGCGUAAUAGCUCACUGGUCGAGUCGGCCUGCGCGGAAGAUGUAACGGGGCUAAACCAUGCACCGAAGCUGCGGCAGCGACACUGUGUGUUGUUGGGUAGGGGAGCGUUCUGUAAGCCUGUGAAGGUGUGCUGUGAGGCAUGCUGGAGGUAUCAGAAGUGCGAAUGCUGACAUAAGUAACGAUAAAGCGGGUGAAAAGCCCGCUCGCCGGAAGACCAAGGGUUCCUGUCCAACGUUAAUCGGGGCAGGGUGAGUCGACCCCUAAGGCGAGGCCGAAAGGCGUAGUCGAUGGGAAACAGGUUAAUAUUCCUGUACUUGGUGUUACUGCGAAGGGGGGACGGAGAAGGCUAUGUUGGCCGGGCGACGGUUGUCCCGGUUUAAGCGUGUAGGCUGGUUUUCCAGGCAAAUCCGGAAAAUCAAGGCUGAGGCGUGAUGACGAGGCACUACGGUGCUGAAGCAACAAAUGCCCUGCUUCCAGGAAAAGCCUCUAAGCAUCAGGUAACAUCAAAUCGUACCCCAAACCGACACAGGUGGUCAGGUAGAGAAUACCAAGGCGCUUGAGAGAACUCGGGUGAAGGAACUAGGCAAAAUGGUGCCGUAACUUCGGGAGAAGGCACGCUGAUAUGUAGGUGAAGUCCCUCGCGGAUGGAGCUGAAAUCAGUCGAAGAUACCAGCUGGCUGCAACUGUUUAUUAAAAACACAGCACUGUGCAAACACGAAAGUGGACGUAUACGGUGUGACGCCUGCCCGGUGCCGGAAGGUUAAUUGAUGGGGUCAGCGCAAGCGAAGCUCUUGAUCGAAGCCCCGGUAAACGGCGGCCGUAACUAUAACGGUCCUAAGGUAGCGAAAUUCCUUGUCGGGUAAGUUCCGACCUGCACGAAUGGCGUAAUGAUGGCCAGGCUGUCUCCACCCGAGACUCAGUGAAAUUGAACUCGCUGUGAAGAUGCAGUGUACCCGCGGCAAGACGGAAAGACCCCGUGAACCUUUACUAUAGCUUGACACUGAACAUUGAGCCUUGAUGUGUAGGAUAGGUGGGAGGCUUUGAAGUGUGGACGCCAGUCUGCAUGGAGCCGACCUUGAAAUACCACCCUUUAAUGUUUGAUGUUCUAACGUGGACCCGUGAUCCGGGUUGCGGACAGUGUCUGGUGGGUAGUUUGACUGGGGCGGUCUCCUCCUAAAGAGUAACGGAGGAGCACGAAGGUUGGCUAAUCCUGGUCGGACAUCAGGAGGUUAGUGCAAUGGCAUAAGCCAGCUUGACUGCGAGCGUGACGGCGCGAGCAGGUGCGAAAGCAGGUCAUAGUGAUCCGGUGGUUCUGAAUGGAAGGGCCAUCGCUCAACGGAUAAAAGGUACUCCGGGGAUAACAGGCUGAUACCGCCCAAGAGUUCAUAUCGACGGCGGUGUUUGGCACCUCGAUGUCGGCUCAUCACAUCCUGGGGCUGAAGUAGGUCCCAAGGGUAUGGCUGUUCGCCAUUUAAAGUGGUACGCGAGCUGGGUUUAGAACGUCGUGAGACAGUUCGGUCCCUAUCUGCCGUGGGCGCUGGAGAACUGAGGGGGGCUGCUCCUAGUACGAGAGGACCGGAGUGGACGCAUCACUGGUGUUCGGGUUGUCAUGCCAAUGGCACUGCCCGGUAGCUAAAUGCGGAAGAGAUAAGUGCUGAAAGCAUCUAAGCACGAAACUUGCCCCGAGAUGAGUUCUCCCUGACCCUUUAAGGGUCCUGAAGGAACGUUGAAGACGACGACGUUGAUAGGCCGGGUGUGUAAGCGCAGCGAUGCGUUGAGCUAACCGGUACUAAUGAACCGUGAGGCUUAACCU